UUUCCGUAGGUGAACCUGCGGAAGGAUCAUUCAUAAUAAGUGUUUUACUGCACUUUUUAAAAAUAGUACUCACCUUGUGUGCAAUGUUGUGUUUCUUUCCGGAGAAACACCUACACCAACCUAUAACCUUGAACCACUUUGUCUGAAAAACUAUUAUGAAUACUCAAUUCAAAAUACAACUUUCAACAACGGAUCUCUUGGCUCUC
rnacentral:misc_RNA from 1 species